rnacentral:rRNA from 1 species
CGGAGGGUGCGAGCGUUGUCCGGAAUCACUGGGCGUAAAGGGCGUGUAGGCGGCUGGAUAAGCCGCGUGUGAAAUCCCGGGGCUCAACCCCGGAACGGCACGCGGGACUGUUCGGCUAGAGAAUGGUAGAGGCAAGUGGAAUUCCUGGUGUAGCGGUGGAAUGCGUAGAGAUCAGGAAGAACACCGGUGGCGAAGGCGGCUUGCUGGGCCAUUUCUGACGCUGAGGCGCGAAAGCGUGGGGAGCAAACAGGAUUAGAUACCCUGGUAGUCCACGCUGUAAACGAUGGGUGCUAGGCGUCGGGGGGAGCGACCCUCCCGGUGCCGUCGCUAACGCAAUAAGCACCCCGCCUGGGGAGUACGGCCGUAAGGUUG